ACGUAGGGUGCGAGCGUUAAUCGGAAUUACUGGGCGUAAAGCGUGCGCAGGCGGCGCGUUAAGACAGGUGUGAAAGCCCCGAGCUUAACUUGGGAAUUGCGCUUGUGACUGGCGUGCUGGAGUGUGGCAGAGGGAGGUGGAAUUCCACGUGUAGCAGUGAAAUGUGUAGAGAUCGGGAGGAACACCGGUGGCGAAGGCGGGGCUCUGGGCUCGACCUGACGCUGAGGCGCGAAAGCGUGGGGAGCAAACGGGA
rnacentral:rRNA from 1 species